UCCUUAGGUCUAACUAAUCGUCUUCCCUGAAAUCUACUAUUGAACUUUUGGAAUUCCUUAGAUUCUAAUUGACCAUCAAUCUUCCCCUUUAGUUAGCCUUCUUAUAUAUUCCAAUAGAAUUCUUUAAAUUUAUUUCAGUGUCAUCGUUCCACAAAAACUCAGUUUCAAAAUUAUCCAAAUCUGUUUUCAUCACCAUCUAAAUUGAUGGAAGAGAGCAUCAGAGGCCAUCUAAUCGACAUCGUUCAAUAAAAAAGGAAGUUGAUUCAAUAACAAUGUAAAGGGCCUCUAACUCUCUACCUACAGAUUCCACCGACAUGCUUCUUGAGAUAGCAUUUACCUCCCAUAUUCAAAGGGAGACGAAAUUAGGAAGGAUGGCCUUUUAGGUAUUCAAAUGCUUCUCUGAUGUGGUUGAGUGAGGUAAGAUUACGGAUCUGACUCUCACUUUCUAUGGUAGACAGCCCCUUCAACUUCUUAUUAACCUUCUAUCAUUUUUCAAACCAGUGGUUAAUGCCAAGAUAGAGAGAGAUAGAGAUAGAGAUAGAGAGAUGGUUAUUUAAAGAGAUAUGCUCAGUACGAUUGAACAAAUAUGUUGCCAAGAUUUGGUGUAUGACAAAACUAAUUUACUAAACUAUCUAUGAUUUUAGAGAUAAGAUCAAACUUGCAAUGGUUGGUAGACCGGUGAUCAAUUGUUCUCUAAUAUGGGUUAAUAUCAAUUGUGCUUCAGAUGGAAGCGCUAGAAAUAAUUGCCACUGAUUUUGAAUAUAUAUGUGUCUGUAAAGUUAAAGAGUUUUAGAAUAGGAGCGACUGUAAAGCUUGGAGUGGUGGAAAUAUCAUGGAUGUAACUGAAGUUUCUUUGGUUUGUGUCAACUUAUUAAUGUUGUUGAUAAGCAUAAAUGAAAAUAAGUGUAACGCAAAAUUCAUUU